GAUGAACGCUGGCGGCGUGCCUAAUACAUGCAAGUCGAGCGAACAGACGAGGAGUUUGUUCCCUGGACGAUUGCGGCGGACGGGAGUAUCACACGUGGAACACCUCCCUUAAAGACGGGGAACACUUGGGGAAACCGGCGCAAAUACCGGAUAAUAUAAUGAACCAUAUGGUUCACUAAUAAAAUACGGUUUUGUUGCUACUUAUAGAUGGUUCCGUGCCUCAUUAGGUUGUUGGUAAGGUAGCGGCUUACGAAGACGACAAUGAGUAGCCGACAGGGGAGGGGGAUCGGCCACCCGGGAACGGGGACACGGUCCAGACUCCUACGGGGGGCGGCAGUAGGGAAUCUUCCGCAAUGGGCGAAAGCCUGACGGAGCAACGCCGCUUGAGGGAUGAGGGUCUUCGGUUCGUAAAACUCUGUUAUUAGGGAAGAACAAUUGUGGAAGGAACUAUGCACGUCUUGACGGUACCUAAUCAGAAAGCCACGGCUAACUACGUG
rnacentral:rRNA from 1 species